rnacentral:rRNA from 1 species
AUUGAACGCUGGCGGCAUGCUUUACACAUGCAAGUCGAACGGUAACAGGGAGCUUGCUCCGCUGACGAGUGGCGAACGGGUGAGUAAUGCGUCGGAACGUGCCGAGUAGUGGGGGAUAACGCAUCGAAAGGUGUGCUAAUACCGCAUACGAACUAAGGUUGAAAGUGGGGGACCUUCGGGCCUCACGCUAUUCGAGCGGCCGACGUCUGAUUAGCUAGUUGGUGAGGUAAAGGCACACCAAGGCGACGAUCAGUAGCGGGUCUGAGAGGAGGGUCCGCCACACUGGGACUGAGACACGGCCCAGACUCCUACGGGAGGCAGCAGUGGGGAAUUUUGGACAAUGGGCGCAAGCCUGAUCCAGCCAUGCCGCGUGUCUGAAGAAGGCCUUCGGGUUGUAAAGGACUUUUGUCCGGGAGCAAAUGCUGGUGGCUAACAUCCACCGGAGCUGAGAGUACCGGAAGAAUAAGCACCGGCUAACUACGUGCCAGCCGCCGCAGUAAAAC